rnacentral:lncRNA from 1 species
UGCGAGUGUCUGGGAGAAAAAGAGAGAUCUUCACAGUUCACUCGAAAAAAAUAGCAGAGGGGAAGAAAAAAGCCCUGAAACCAUUUACAUCAUUUCUGUGAGAUUGCCAACCGCCUCAACGGAGAGGCUUUCUUUUCUAAGAGUUCAUUUUCUUGAAAUACGACAAGGCAGGGGCAAAAUAAAGAGGGCGAUGAAGAUAAUGACAAAGCAUAAACCUUCUUUCCCUUGGAGCGACUUCCGAAUCAGCCGGAAGGACAACUUUUAGAAAGAAACAUCGGAUACAAGGGCCCCGAACACGCAGGCGGAGGAGAAUCCGCGGUGCAGAAAAAGAGGGCCUCGGUGGCCGGGCAGGGAUGAAGCCGGACCCGGGAGGGCUGCGAUCCCGGAGCUUCUGGCCAGGGGAGGAAAGCACCCCCUUGCUCCAGUUUGCAGAGGUUUAUUUUCCCUCUCGGGGUGGUUACUUUGCCGGCUAUUGCUCGCGAAAUUGCUUGGCGCUCACCCUUAGCGCGCAGAAGAGGCGGUGGGGUCCGCGGAGACCUUACAGCCCGCGAGCCGAGCCGAGAGCCGACCCCGAUCCCAGCGCCUAGCUGCUGAGGUGGGAGAGGUUGUCCAUGCCCCAGGAGACCACACGUCUCCCUCUCGCCCUUUUACUGGACAGUUUGGAAGCGGCACAUUCGGGGAGAGCUGGUUUCUUACCCUUAAUCUUUGUGAGCAAGUGGACAGUCUAGGGGCCCCAUCCAGGAAAUGGGAAUAUUUAUCCCAUGGCCCAUUUCUUGGAUAAUAGUUCUGCAAAUAAUUAGAUGAGGGCGCUUUAGCUUCUGCGUGUCUGAGGCUCGCGGGCAACUGGAACUGAGAGUCUGAGUUGGCCUCGCGGGAGCCGCCAGAAGGGUGCGGGCUGCGUGUGGCAGAGUAGGAGCACUGUCUGGUGGCUUGGCAGGAAGGGACUGAGAAGUGCCUGGAGGUUGGGGACUACUAUCAGGAGAUCCAUCUUCGCCAUCGCAAGGGACUUGAUUUAAUUUUAUUAACCCAAAGGAAAUAGACUGCGCCAGGGCACCUUGGAAUCACUUAUUUGUUCACCAGCUUCACAAGGGGAAGGGACGAACAGGAAGAAGUAUGUGAGCCGAGCCCCCUGGGAAAGAGGGAAGCUCCACGGGAUUCCUUAGGAAUAACCCUCUUUUGGGGAAGGCGGUGACCCUCACCCCACCUUUAAGGUGUACUUCUCCCAAGUUUGCCAGACGAAAGCUGUGACUUCGGGCUGGCUUUUCUUAAUUUUACAGAAGGGUAUAUAUUUUUUUCUUUUACCAGUUUUGAGGUUUUGUGCCAACCCUCCAGGCAACCCCUCACUUCUUAUCCCACAUUUCAUUUUUCUUUUGCAUUUGACCGGGAAAUCGAGAAAGUACAGUGGCAGCCCUUGGCCUUGGGCCUGUCUGGGUGGUUUUGCAGCUUGCUACUGGUGGUUUGCAGCUAGUAGAUUGGGACAUGAGGUCUUGGACAAAGGCUCGGGUCUUGCCGGGAAUCCAUAGACGUCUACUCAGCUUUCUCUAGAGUUGCAUUUUGUGGGGCAAAUAUGGAGAAAAAAAUCAUGUAGAAGAUGAUGUCCAAGGGCUGGUUUUGUAGCUAACUGUUUCGUGCUGGAUUUAGGCAAAGUGCCCCCAGGGAAUUCUGAGGCUCAUGCCGGAAAUAUCUGGAGUUCAGUGUGGGACUUCUGCACAUAUGGGGAUCUCACUCCUCGCUCUGCCCCUACUGAUUUUCCUCUCUAGAGUAGAGGACAGGUGGAAUCCUGGUCACACCCUGCUCACAUUUGCCAGAGGAGAGCAGUGCUUAGAAGUCAAUACUUUCCUACCUCUGGGUUCCAAUCUUAUCUUUUCUUUGACUUUUCCUAAGUCAAAUGUCUUUUUUAAAAUGUUGUGUUUUUGUUUUUUUCUCACACAAUUUCACAUAAUCAGCUAUUUUAAGAAUGCGGUAAUUGAAUCCAUCUGAAUUCCUUGAUAAAGACAUUUGUGCUGCAUCUGAGAGUCACAGACUGGAAGACAAUGAGGUCCCCAGUCUUUUGUGUGAUUUGGACUUUGGAAGAGAUCUUGGUUUCCCUUUCCUGUGUCUCAAAGCCGAGUGUUGGUGGUGACAACUGGCUUUUAGUUUUAUAACUCUACUUCUAAAAAAGUAUAAAAUAAUCUAGAAAGUUUUAAAAGGCAUUUUUCCGAGUUUGAAAUUACACUAUUAAAAAUUUACACUUUCAAACAUUUAUUUAUUUG